GUGACAAUCCCUUCGCUGAAAUUAGCUUCCUUGAUGAAGUGCUGGAGUCCUGCGGGGCUCAGCUGAAUAUUUCAGUGCUGGGAAUGUAGAGAAAAACAAUGCUAGGAGGAGGAAAACAGACGGACUGAAGUAUCGCAUGGAGCCAGCAAGAACUACUCUAUUCAUUGCAUCUGACCUUUGAAGUGCCUUAUCUUCAGGGAGAAAGAUCUGCCAGACAUCCGUAAGCAUCAUGACACAGAGGGCAAAUUGUGCCUGCCCCCUGGGCAGGUGCACAAGUAAGGAGAAAGGAUCACUGUUUAUCUCCUUAGUCGUAUUAGGAAUAAGGGUGAGCCCACUGAGCUGCCCCUCACACUGUGUUCCAUGGACCCAAAGUCCUAAGCCUGGCCAAGCAUUUGGAACUUUCCAGAAGUGAAAGCCACCCACCCUCAGGUGAGAUAGGAAGGGGUGUCCCUGACUUUUCUCCUAUCUAGCUUCUGUUUCCUGCUCCCUGGUCCUUGCACCUUCCUCCAUUUCCAGGGGCUGCUCCCGUGGAACUUACUCCGGGGCCACUCUUCCUAGGGGCUGUUUCUGUGUCUGACAGGGGCAGGCCCACAGCUAGACAAGUGUGGGAAAAUGUAAUGAGCCAAUGUUUUAUUUAAUAGGAGGCAGGGCUUCUCCCCUGGAGAAAGUUGA